GCCUGGGUGGCUCAGUCAGUUAAGCGUCUGACUUCAGCUCAGGUCAUGAUCUCACGGUUCAUGGGUUCGAGUCCCACAUCGGGCU
rnacentral:tRNA from 1 species